UACGGAGGGGGCAAGCGUUGUCCGGAUUUAUUGGGCGUAAAGAGCGUGUAGGCGGUCUGGUAGGUCCGCUGUGAAAACUCGAGGCUCAACCUCGAGACGCCGGUGGAAACCAUCAGACUAGAGUCCGGAAGAGGAGAGUGGAAUUCCUGGUGUAGCGGUGAAAUGCGCAGAUAUCAGGAAGAGCACCCGUGGCUAAGGCGGCUCUCUAGUACGGUACUGACGCUGAGACGCGAAAGCGUGGGGAGCGAACAGG
rnacentral:rRNA from 1 species